UGAACGUUCUAUUCGCAACCCUCUUGUGGAUCAGGAUCUGGAUCUUGGUCCUCUUGAUCUGAAAUAGUUAAUGAAAAAGUGAGCUACACUAACCCAGCAAAAAUAUCAUACUACUUGCUGAUACAUAAAUGAAUGUUGGUAAAAAUCAUGAAAACAACUAAUGAAGCUCUUAUUUUAAGUAAAUUCAUUUAUCAAAAGUAAAAUAAUUUAUUGUACACUUACCAUAGUGAAAUUUUCAAAACCGACCUAUAGAGGCAAUAACAUAAACAAUCUCAUAAUCUCAUGUACAAUUAACUAGAACAACAACUUUUCCUUUUUAUCUGCCUACUGGUAUCUAUGAGGUUUUAUAGGGAUGUUCCCACUACGCGUGAACCAUUAUUCCACAUUUUCAAUUAACCAGCUGUCCCCAUAUCUCGUCCGGUAUGAGUGCCAAAAUACCAUCCCUCAAUACUCUGUCUGAUAUGAGGGUGAAACGGGCCGUCCCCAUACCCUGUCCGGUAUGAGCGCUAAAAUAC
rnacentral:lncRNA from 1 species